GUCCACGCCAUAAACGAUGACAACUAGACGUUGGGGCGAUAUGGCCCACCAGUGUCGCAGCUAACGCGUUAAGUUGUCCGCCUGGGGAGGUACGGCCGCAAGGUUGAAACUCAAAGGAAUUGACGGGGACCCCGCACAAGCGGUGGAGCAUGUGGUUUAAUUCGAUGCAACGCGAAGAACCUUACCUGGUCUUGACAUGUCUGGAAUCCCGAAGAGAUUUGGGAGUGCCGCAAGGAACCAGAACACAGGUGCUGCAUGGCUGUCGU
rnacentral:rRNA from 1 species